GUGGGGAAUAUUGGACAAUGGGCGAAAGCCUGAUCCAGCCAUGCCGCGUGUGUGAAGAAGGUCUUCGGAUUGUAAAGCACUUUAAGUUGGGAGGAAGGGCAGUAAGUUAAUACCUUGCUGUUUUGACGUUACCGACAGAAUAAGCACCGGCUAACUUCGUGCCAGCAGCCGCGGUAAUACGAAGGGUGCAAGCGUUAAUCGGAAUUACUGGGCGUACAGCGCGCGUAGGUGGUUUUGUAAGUUGGAGGUGAAAUCCCCGGGCUCAACCUGGGAACUGCCUCCAAAACUGCAUGACUAGAGUACGGUAGAGGGUAGUGGAAUUUCCUGUGUAGCGGUGAAAUGCGUAGAUAUAGGAAGGAACACCAGUGGCGAAGGCGACUACCUGGACUGAUACUGACACUGAGGUGCGAAAGCGUGGGGAGCAAACAGGAUUAGAAACCCUGGUAGUCC
rnacentral:rRNA from 1 species